GGCGUAGGCGGCCUGUCAAGUCGGAUGUGAAAUCUCCCGGCUUAACUGGGAGGGUGCAUUCGAAACUGAUGGGCUAGAGUGCAGCAGAGGGAGGUGGAAUUCCCGGUGUAGUGGUGAAAUGCGUAGAUAUCGGGAAGAACACUAGUGGCGAAGGCGGCCUCCUGGGCUGUAACUGACGCUGAGGUCCGAAGGCGUGGGGAGCAAACAGGAUUAGAUACCCUGGUAGUCCACGCAGUAAACGAUGGAUACUAGGUAUGGGGAGUAUCGACCCUCUCUGUGCCGAAGCUAACGCUUUAAGUAUCCCGCCUGGGGAGUACGGUCGCAAGACUAAA
rnacentral:rRNA from 1 species